AAAUGAAUGCGAUGCACCAGUAUCAAUCAAGAUAUGAGCAAGAUGGUUACAGAUAGUGUACAUACCAUGUACCAUGUCCGGGUUAGCUUCUGCAUCUUCCUGAGUGAGAUUGUAAGUCCUAUCCUAGAUAGGAGGUAUAGCCUGGUUCAAAUUUCUCGGGCACUCUUUACGUAAUGUUGAGCUCUACUACAUAUGCGGCAUGUAUUGUUGAAGCGAUAGCAGGGUCGGUCUCCAUGAUCCUUACCAUAAUGCUGACAGAUCUUGUCGCGUCCUGCUGCUGGAACCUGAGGGGGAGCCUGAGUCAUCGGUCUAGGUCUUUUAUUCUGUUGAACAGAUGCAAUAGAUGCUGGUCUGCGGUGUGGGGCUGAGGACCUGGGUUUCCUACUACUUGAGGGAAGGUGCGAAGGCUCCUCUCCGCUAACUGUGCCUUGGUCAAGACAGCCGAAUAAGUACUAAGCUCGAGCACAAACAACUGCUGUUUGAUCUUAGGAUGGAGAUCCCACUCGAACCUUUUAGCCUUCCUGCCUUCAUCCAUCAUGCUCUCAGGAGAAUAUCAACCCAACUCUAGGAACUUGCGAGCAUAUUCUGAUACAGUCAUGUCCCCUUGGACCAAGUGUGCAAACUUCAUCUCCUUCAGAUGUUGGAGAUACUCUGGGAGGUAC
rnacentral:lncRNA from 1 species